GAUGCCGGUGCCGCGGCCCACGACGGCCACCGGCUCGGCCCCGGUCAGCGCCGCGAUCAGCACCGCGGCCGGGGUCG
rnacentral:tRNA from 2 species